GCCCAAGUGGCGGAAUGGUAGACGCAGCGGAUUCAAAAUCCGCCGGUAGUGAUACCGUGCCGGUUCGAGUCCGGCCUUGGGUACCA
rnacentral:tRNA from 1 species